rnacentral:lncRNA from 9 species
CACAUCAUACCACGUGUUGGGCUUUUUGGUAGGCCUCCUCUCCCAAGAAUUUAAAUAGGCUUUCAUUUGUCUUUCUCUUUCCAGUCCACUCCUGUGCCAAGAACCGGUUCCUACUUUUCUAUUUAUGGACUACAUUGCACAAACUUUGAGCCUAUUAAGAUUCUAUGGGAAUGAAAUGCCUCUAGAAUUUUUGGAGUUCCUGUUGUGGCUUAGCCAGGUUGAACUGAAAUGAAAGAACAUGAGUUGAAUAUUUCAUGCUGUACUGACUUCCUUGCAGGGCUGAACUAUACGAAUGACCACCAGACAAAGGAGUAAGAAUCUGCCACAAAAUUCUUUAUCAGCAUAACUUCAUGGCCUAUUGUAAGUGACUUUUUUUAAAAAAAUUGUCAUCUUCCAGAUCUAUACUUCCCCAUGUUCAUCCAGGUUCAUUGUGUGUAGUUCACCCACAAAAUUAGAGUUUAAUUCUCAUAAUAAGUCUUACUUUAUAUUUACUCAUAAUGAUUGAAUUGACCUGACCAAACCCAAAAGAUAA